CCGGGACAAGUGUAGAUUGCUGUGCGUUUAGCGAAACUCUCCGGUUGAUGUCAAACACAAGAUUGUAAAUCACUAAUUCUUGCAUGUGAUACCCUCGUUUAGGUUGGCUAGUAACAUCUAAACCGCAGACAUGGUGGCCACUAAGAAAACUAAAAAGUCCCUGGAGUCCAUCAACUCUCGUCUUCAGCUGGUGAUGAAGAGCGGUAAAUACGUACUGGGCUACAAACAGACUCAGAGGAUGAUCCGCCAGGGCAAAGCCAAGCUGGUCAUCCUGGCCAACAACACACCUGCUCUCAGGUAACUACAGGGCAAAGCCAAGCUGGUCAUCCUGGCCAACAACACACCUGCUCUCAGGUAACUACAGGGCAAAGCCAAGCUGGUCAUUCUGGCCAACAACACACCUGCUCUCAGGUAACUACAGGGCAAAGCCAAGCUGGUCAUCCUGGCCAACAACACACCUGCUCUCAGGUAACUACAGGGCAAAGCCAAGCUGGUCAUCCUGGCCAACAACACACCUGCUCUCAGGUAACUACAGGGCAAAGCCAAGCUGGUCAUUCUGGCCAACAACACACCUGCUCUCAGGUAACUACAGGGCAAAGCCAAGCUGGUCAUCCUGGCCAACAACACACCUGCUCUCAGGUAACUACAGGGCAAAGCCAAGCUGGUCAUCCUGGCCAACAACACACCUGCUCUCAGGUAACUACAGAGCAAAGCCAAGCUGGUCAUUCUGGCCAACAACACACCUGCUCUCAGGUAACUACAGGGCAAAGCCAAGCUGGUCAUUCUGGCCAACAACACACCUGCUCUCAGGUAACUACACUGAUCCAAAAAUAUAGACGUGAAGUUAGUCUCAAUGCAUGAACUAAAAGACCUCUCAGAUAUUUUCCAUACGCCCAAAAAAAUAGGCCCAACCGACCACGUGUAACCAGGUCCAACCGACCACGUGUAACCAGGUCCAACCGACCACGUGUAACCAGGUCCAACCGACCACGUGUAACCAGGUCCAACCGACCACGUGUAACCAGGUCCAACCGACCACGUGUAACCAGGUCCAACCGACCACGUGUAACCAGGUCCAACCGACCACGUGUAACCAGGCCCAACCGACCACGUGUAACCAGGUGUAACCAGGCCCAACCGACCACGUGUAACCAGGCCCAACCGACCACGUGUAACCAGGCCCAACCGACCACGUGUGACCACGCCCAACCGACCACGUGUGACCACGCCCAACCGACCACGUGUAACCACGCGGUCCCAUUGUUUCAGCACGACGAUGAAUGGCGGCCUCAUGUCG